rnacentral:rRNA from 1 species
AUCGAACGCUGGCGGCAGGCCUAACACAUGCAAGUCGAACGAGUGGCGGACGGGUGAGCAAUGUCUGGGACACUGCCUGAUGGAGGGGGAUAACUACUGGAAACGGUAGCUAAUACCGCAUACUAUCGGAUGUGCCCAGAUGGGAUUAGCUAGUAGGUGGGGUAAAGGCUCACCUAGGCGCCGAUCCCUAGCUGGUCUGCGAGGAUGACCGGCCACACUGGAACAGAGACACGGUCCAGACUCCUACGGGAGGCAGCAGUGGGGAAUAUUGCGCAAUGGGCGCAAGCCUGAUGUAGCCAUGCCGCGUGUAUGAAGAAGGCCUUCGGGUUGUAAAAUACUUUCAGCGGGGAGGCGUUACCCGCAGAAAAAGCACCGGCUAACUCCGUGCCAGCAGCCGCGGUAAUUC